ACGGUCUAGGAUUUGAGUGGAAGUCUAUAAAACGACUACAACUCUAUGGAUUAGUCAGUGAAAUGUCAAAAUUAUUUGACAACAACAAAACGCAUUUACGUAUCUUUUUACACUUAAGUUACUUUAUUUCAUUAAAAUAUAAAUAUUCUUUGGUUUAGAAUUCUAAAAUAUGGCUUUAAAUAAACCAUUAAAUGAAUUUUUAAAAAAAUAUAAACUAAAAAUAUCACAGUCAACUACCCCAGGCUACAUAACCUCUUUUGUGCAAUGUUUUUGUUAAUUAAGUAAAUCUCCCAACAACAAUAUUAUACGGAUGGGGUGGAGAAAUAUAAAAAAAUAAACCGUACCUUAAAAAUCCAGGCAAAACCACCACAGGAUAACCGAUACACGACCAAAAACAAACAACACCAGCCGUUGAUGAAAUGUCCAGAGUACAUUAUUGACUGCAAGAUUUCCAGUUUCUCCACGAUAGUAUAAUUAUCGAUGUAAUAUUAAAACGUGCUCGCGUUGCGGGCACGAACGUGUAUAUUAUUAAUUUUUAAUAAAUUUUCUAUUCGAUGUGUACCCUUCAAUGGUGAUUUGUUCAAGAGUAAUUCCGUCGUUAAUUAUCCCAAUCCAUGAAUUGUCGAUGUAAUAUUAAAAACGUGCUCGCGUUGCGGGCACAAACGUG